UACGUAGGGUGCAAGCGUUAAUCGGAAUUACUGGGCGUAAAGCGUGCGCAGGCGGUUCUGUAAGUCUGUCGUGAAAUCCCCGGGCUCAACCUGGGAAUUGCGAUGGAGACUGCAAGGCUAGAAUCUGGCGGAGGGGGGUAGAAUUCCACGUGUAGCAGUGAAAUGCGUAGAGAUGUGGAGGAACACCGAUGGCGAAGGCAGCCCCCUGGGUCAAGAUUGACGCUCAUGCACGAAAGCGUGGGGAGCAAACAGG
rnacentral:rRNA from 1 species